GACAGAGGGGGCAAGCGUUGCUCGGAAUCACUGGGCGUAAAGGGUGCGUAGGCGGGUCUUUAAGUCAGGGGUGAAAUCCUGGAGCUCAACUCCAGAACUGCCUUUGAUACUGAAGAUCUUGAGUUCGGGAGAGGUGAGUGGAACUGCGAGUGUAGAGGUGAAAUUCGUAGAUAUUCGCAAGAACACCAGUGGCGAAGGCGGCUCACUGGCCCGAUACUGACGCUGAUGCACGAAAGCGUGGGGAGCAAACAGG
rnacentral:rRNA from 1 species